UACGAAGGGGGCUAGCGUUGCUCGGAAUCACUGGGCGUAAAGCGCACGUAGGCGGCUUCUUAAGUCGGGUGUGAAAUCCUGAGGCUUAACCUCGGAACUGCAUUCGAUACUGCGGUGCUUUGAGGACUGGAGAGGAGACUGGAAUUCAUGGUGUAGCAGUGAAAUGCGUAGAGAUCAUGAGGAAGACCAGUGGCGAAGGCGGAGUUCCUGGACAGUUACUGACGCUGAGGCACGAAGGCCAGGGGAGCAAACGGG
rnacentral:rRNA from 1 species